rnacentral:lncRNA from 1 species
UAACCACUGGCUUCAGUGUUUCUAUUAGUCCUGAGCCUCAGCGAUAGGAAAGUCCCAGCAAUACAACACCAAUACAAGCGCUAACACAGAGACAGCGGCCCUUCACACACACCUGAAAGGAAAACUCUUUCUCCGUUUCUCCCUGUGCAGCAUCAUUCUGCUUCUCUUAUGGGCCACAGGUGUGUUCUGAGGAUCACCUACUACAUGUCAUCUGAUUAAUCUUUUAGACUGUUUUAGCAGCUAAAAGGCCUUUAAGUAUAAUUUUAGUACAAACAUCCACCUUUAGUUGGUGGUUCAUGUGUCUUUUUGCUGUGAAAUCUGAUUUUUAUGAAAUAUAGCCUAUAUUAUUGGUAGUAAUAUUUCAAGAUGAAUACUUACUGGACUGAAGCAGCUUAGGUUUAUCAUUUUUUAGAAAAAUCAUGUUCAAAUGUGAAUAUCAAAUAUUUGUUCAUCUCUCAAUCAUCAUUGUAUUGCAUUGCAAUAUAUGUUUUUGAGCAUUUAAAUAUACCCCAGCGACUUAAGACUGGUUUUGUGCUCCAGGGUCACAUAUGAUGCAUAAAAGCCUGAUGCAUCAAAUAUGAUACAAAACAAAAAAGAUUCUGUCUAAAGUAAAAACUGAAUGAAAUGUCACAACACUUCAUUGUGAACACAAACUCAUGUGUGUAUAUCAUACCUGUUUCAGAGAUGCAGACUGAUGGAUGGGUAGCUGACGGUGUAAAAGCAGUACAUGGACACGGCUGCGCAGGAGCGGGGCGCCGCUGAGAUGAUGAUCUGGACUGUGACGUUCACGUAUGGAGAAGUGGAGCAGAGACUAGACCAACUGACAGGAACACCUGAGGAUCUGGACUGUGACGUCACGUAUGAGAAGUGGAGCAGAGACUAGACCAACUGCAGGAACACCUGAGCAGGUUAGAGUGUCAGAUGACAUCAGACAUUCAGAGUAUCCUUCAGCUGCUGCAGAGACAGACGUGUUUGGGACCUCCAGCCUACAGCAGCCUCACAGCCGGUCCCAAAGACAAGAGACCCGGCAUCAGAGUGCAGCCCAUGGCUUCUGUUCCCAGCAACCCACAGCACUGCACAGCACAGGACGAUGACUUUUUGGCUAUGACAAAGAUCCAUCCGAACCCCAGAGACUCUC